rnacentral:lncRNA from 1 species
UGGUACUUCCCUGGUGUGGUUGUUUGCCUAGUGCUGUUUGAGCAAACAGCUGGGUGAACUAGCUGUCUCUGCGUGCAGGUGGCAAGAUAUGCUGUUUGGUGGUGGACUGCUGGUUGGUAGGCCUACUGAUAUAGGCUGCUUGCUGACCUGCUGCAGGUGUUUGACCAGCUUGUGUGGGCAAACAGCUUGGUAUGCUGCUGGUUGGCCCACUAGUGUUGUUUGUGUGAUGCCCAAACAUGCUGUCAUGCAGUGGGACAGCAGAAAAUGCAAAGGUUUUGUCCAUUUUGUGCAGCAACAAGAAGUUUUGAGAAGAAGAAGAGUUGUUAUGGGAAGGGCAUAAUAGAAUAUUGAAUAAAGAUGAAGAAAGUACUGCCCUGUUUAGGAUUUCUUCUUUGUUGCUUUUGCUGCCUUGGGUGUUUGCCCAGUCAGUUUGGGCAAACAGGCUGGUAGAACAGGUGGAAUUUCUGCAGCAUUCUGUGUGAAGGUUUGUUGUUUGCCCAGCCGUGUGGACAAACAAGCUGGUCGAACAGGUAGCUUGCUGUGUGGGCAGACAGUGUGCCAACUUUUUCUGAGUUAUCUCUGCUGUUUGCCCAGCUUGUGUGGGCAAACAGGUUGGUCAUCUAGCUUUUACCUGCAAAAUAGCUAAAACCUGGAAAUGGGUUAUGGUACUGAUUUUUGCACUCCUG